rnacentral:rRNA from 1 species
GAUGAACGCUAGCUACAGGCUUAACACAUGCAAGUCGAGGGACCGGCGCACGGGUGAGUAACACGUAUCCAACCUGCCCUUUACUCGGGGAUAGCCUUUCGAAAGAAAGAUUAAUACCCGAUAUAAUGGAUGGGGAUGCGUUCCAUUAGGUUGUUGGUGAGGUAAAGGCUCACCAAGCCUUCGAUGGAGAGGGGUUCUGAGAGGAAGGACCCGCACAGUGGAAAUGAGAAACGGUCCAAACUCGAACGGGAGGUAGCAGGGAGGAAUAGUGGUGAAUGAGCGCUAGCCUGAAACGCCAAGUAGAGUGAAGGAUGAAGGCUUAUGGGUCGUAAACUUCUUUUAAAUAAGAAUAUGUAUUAUAUGAAUAAGGAUCGGCUAACUCCGUGCCAGCAGCCGCGGUAAUAC